GGGUGUAUGAGCUACUUCUAUCCCAAAUACAGAGACGGAGGACGGGGAGAGGCGAGCAACGAGCGGGCGGCGACGGGGGACGACGGGGCGGAGAGAGGAGGAGGAGGCGACGGCGCAGAGGAUUCUCCGGCGCCGCCCGCCCUCCCGCACGCUCGCAGCUCGCAGCUCGUGGCGCCGUCCUCCCCCCGUCGCUGCCCGCCGCCCGCCGCUAUACCAUCCCAUUCUUGCCGCCCGGGAAGACACUCAGCCCAAUCCCAUGCGCCUGUACAGUUGUGCGGGAGGAGCAAGGGCCAAGAGCACGGCACCUGCCCCUCGGCAUCGGACACGCUGGCCUCCUCACUGCUCUCUCCUUCUUGUGCUUGUGCAGGCAGGAGGCGGAGGCUAUGUCCAAUUACUCCCUUUUGUGUGAAUACUAUUGGGCUAGGCCCCCAGAAGCUGGGUGUAUUUUUAAGAGGAUUGUAUGGCUACAUUUGCUGCAAGCUAGAGAGAGCUAUUGUGCGUCGGAUUGGGAGCUCACAUGCCAUCAGGAAACUAGAUUUCUGUUUAACUUGUGUCCCAUGGUUAGAUAAAUGCAUGCGCCAAGUUUAGUAAUGACAAAGUGCUUCCAUCUUGCUAAAAAUAGUGAAAUAAAAUUAAUCGAAAAACUUUGGCACUGCCUACCCAAACUGACUCUUUAAUUUGAUCUUGGUACAUGAGUUCAAUUUUGGUGCCAACAAAUUGACUUGUUUUUCCAUGAACCCAUGCAUUUAAUUGAUGAUACUUACAAGUUGUCAUUUUACGAGUGAGAAUUGUUUGAACAGGUAUGAUAAUCAUAGGAGGUCCCAUCAAAGAAAAGUUUUUUUUUUUCGAAUGUGGUAUUUACAUUCUGUUGCAACACACAAGUACUUGGCUAGUCAUAGAAGCAAACCAAAAGUUUUCUCUGGCGAUGACAAAGAUGCGCAAAACAUGAUCUGAGAACCAAAGGCUGCUCAUCACCCACUUGGCAUCUUGGGCAUGUCACAUUACAUACAGAAAUGCAUUGCCUUAAUCUUUCCUUUACAUGGUUUAAUUUUCUCCUCUUAAUCAUCUACAUGCUAAUGAUUAAUCACCCAAACUAUGUUGCGCCAUUAAGUAACAUCAUCAGCUCAGCUGCAGUCCACACAGAGCGAAGGCAGCAGCAGCAGUGCCUUUUAAUCAUCUAUACAUUGCAGCUGCAGGUGCAGCAGCCAUGGAGGAUGGAGGCAGCAGAGACUCUGAUCAUGGCGUGGAGACGUCGUCGCCGCCGAAGCUGUAGGGAGCGGAGCUGGAGCAGGUGGUGCUGGUGCUGCUGACCUUGGAGGCGUCGUACUCCUGGCUGAGGCAGCGCAGCCGGUUGAGCUCCGGCAAGAUCUCCUUCCCGAGGUCCGGCCGGUCCUUCUUCCUCAGCUCGGCGCACCGCAGCGCCAGCUUGGCGAACACCAAGGCCUCCUCCACCGGCCAGUCGGUCACCAUCGGGUCGAGCACCUCCUGGAAGGUCCCCCUCUCGAUGGCGCUCUCGACGUGGUGGGUGAGCCCCAUGGGCGACCUCGCCGUGAUGAUCUGCAGCAGCAGGAUCCCCAGCGAGUAGAUGUCGGACAUGGUGGUCAGCAUCCCGGUCUGCUGGUACUCCGGGUCGAUGUAGCAGAAGGUGCCCGCCGUCGAGGUCAUCCGGUACUGCGUGGCCUCGGCGGCGGCAGCGGACUGCGGGACGAGGCGGGCGAGGCCGACGUCGCUGAUCUUGCUGACGAAGUUGUGGUCGAGGAGGAUGUUGGCCGGCUUCAGGUCGCGGUGGACCAGCGGCUCGGGCUUCGCCUGGUGGAGGAAGAGGAGGCCGGUGGCGAUGUCGGCGGCGAUGCGGAACCGGAUGUUCCAGGGGAUCGGCAGCGUCUUCCCCCGCCGGCACAGCCGGUCCUCCAGGCUGCCGUAGUCCAUGUACUCGUACACCAGGCACCCGUACUCCGGGCAUGCUCCCAGCAGCAGCACCAUGUUUGGAUGCCUCAUGCAGCUAAGCACUUCUAUCUGAACAACAAAAUAAAUAAAUUACAACUUAUUCAUCACCAUGCAGUUUAUUAAUUACUCCCUCUGUUUCAGAUUAUGAGUCGUUUUGACUUUGGUUAAAGUCAAACUGUUGUAAGUUUGACUAAUUUAUUAGUCUAUAAUUAGUUCUAUUAAAUCUAUAAUUGAAUAUAUUUUUAUAAUAUAUUUGUCUUGGGUUGAAAAUAUUAUUAUUAAUUUUCUGUAAAUUUGGUCAAACUUGAAGCAGUUUGACUUUGACCAAAGUCAAAACGACUUAUAAUAUGAAACGGAGGGAGUAAUUAGCUUGAUCAUGACAUGACUAUCUUUUGCAUAAUUGACAUCAUAUAUUUGAUCUGCCCAAAAAAAAGAAGAAGAAACUCUCACUACAUGCAGUUUAUGAGCUUGGUUAUAACUAUCGUUUGCAUAAUUGACAUGCAGAUAAUUUAGAUAUUUGAAUGGUAAAUAUGGGUAGGAAGAUAAAAUGUCUUCAAAAACAUAUGAUUGAAAUAAUGAUGUUCUGAACUAACUCAUUGUCAGAUCAUUAAAUCCUUCAAAAACAAAAAAGAGAAAAUUUGCUUCCUGAUGGUGAGAGAAAAUAUUGCAUUCAGUUUUAGUUUGGUUGUACUAAUAUGUUAACUCAAAACAACCCUGAAUAUACUGAAAAGAUGAAGAAUUUACUAGAUACUCCUAUAUUAGAUUUACCUCUUGCUGAAACUGUUUCCUCCCUUGUGAUGCAUCUGGCCUUAAGAUUUUAAUGGCGACAUUAGUAUGAUCCAUGACAGCUUUAUACACCGGCCCAUAUCCACCUUCCCCUAUCUUGAGUGCCUUGUCAAACUUAUGGGUGGCAGCUUCAAUGUCAUCAAUGGAAUACCUCCUGUACCUUAAAUCAGUGUUGUUCAUUGCUUCUGUUGCUCUCUUCCUCUCCUCGGCUUCGCGCUUCGCCUUCCACUCUGCUCUCAGUCUCUUCUGAGCCUCCAGCUCUGCAAUUCUCUGUGCAGCCUCUGCUGCUUCCAGUGCGGCUCUGCACUUUGCCUUCUCCAUUUGGACCAGAGCAAGGGCUUCCUCUUCAGCAUUCCUGAGUUCUUGGUACUUCUUGGACUCUUCCAUCUUCAUCUGGUGCAUCUGAGCAGCCUGCUGAUUUGAUCAUUAUUCACUAUUGUUUCAAAAUAUUUCAGAUAAUAGUUGAAAUUUACAGCGACAUAGAAGUGGGCAGACCUUCUGUUUAGCAUCAAUUGCUUCCUUGCAUGCGGAGUUGUACAUUUCCAUUGUCUGCUUCAGCUCUAGUCUCAGCCGUCUCAUUUCCGUUUCGACAUCCUUCUGAAUUUCAAACGACACAAAAAUAAGAGUUGAUCAAAGUCCAAUACUCUAAAAGAUUCCAGAUCACCAAGAUUUUGAUCAACUGCAGCAAAACUGAUGUUGCCGGUGUGCUUGCUUACCCCAGCUGAGCUUAGGCUUUCGAUGGACAUUGAUGCGGAAAGCGAAAGCUCCAAAGAAUCGCCGAAGUCCAUCGAUGGCAACUCCAAGCUCAAAGGAAAAUCAACAUCAUCUGAAAAGGAGCUACGGGUUACCGAGGGCCUUGGAGGAGCUAUGAAGUCGAUAUAGUCGUCGAAAUCCUUUGGGGGUGCUGAUCUAGCUCCAGAGAGAGGCCUUUCCCUGGUUGGAGCUUUUGCAAAGCCAGAUAGUCGGUCCACCGAUGGUCUGUUUGCCUUUGGAGAUGAUUGAUUGGAAAUCUUCUUCCAGUCUCCUCUUGAUCUGUUCAGCAAACCCGGAACAUGAUUUCGUAUUAUGUUAGCAAGUUCAGAAGGUAAACCGAGUGACAUGACUGAUAAACAUAUCUAUAUCUACUUAUUUGCAUACAGGUGUUUAGAUUUUAGAAUCUGAUUACUUCAAACCAUUUUGCAAUGUAAUUAUUGAGUGAAGCGAUUAUUCCUUAUCGACAAACUUACCUCGGAUAUCCAUCAGAUUCUAUGCUUGACUGUGAGUACUGUUUGGGAGGGAGAGUGGUAAAGGGUGCUGGGGCUUUGGCUGCCUUGACUUGGAUUGCCUUCCCUUUGUGGAUGACAUGCACUGUGCAGUAAUCAGGCACCAUCUUCAUCAAGCAUGUUGGCACAUCAGGAUUUCUGAACUUUCUGCAGGACACGAGGUUCAUGACUGUGUUCAGUUAUUACAGGUUAUCAAGGGAUUGGGGAAUGGUGCACAGCACAGCCAUGGAGGAAUGAACAGUCAUGCACCUGAUGAAUGUGUUCCUCGUCGACGCCCCGACGACGAUGUCGGUGAUGGCGUUGCUAGUGGCAUACUCGACUAUUGCUUUGGAGAUGUCACUGCCAUCCAAGAUCACUUCCUUCAAUUGCAUCUGCAGUUUGCAAUAUUAGCUUUGGUUCAUGCAGAUUCAUGGAGCAUUACCAUUUUGCUGUGGCUUGACAUGGACGAGCUGGAGAACGCUGCCCCUGGCGAGGAGCCGGUCCACCGCCCACUUGACCGCCUGCUGGCUGUUCUUGUCCCGGUCGACGGCGACCACCGUGGAGCUGUCCCUGGCCUCGCUGUCCCCGCCGCCGUGCGAAGACGCCGAGGAGGAGAAGGCCGACAGGUACAUGCUCCCCGCACCUCGCCGGCAAAAAGAUCGUCGGAGUCGGAGAAGGAGAGGAAGAGACAAAAAAAAAAAAAAGGAUUCUUUUGCUUCUCCUCCUCUCCCUCUUCUUCCCUCUUCUUCCCUCUCCUCCGGUUUUUUGAUCAAGCCAACCAAAAACUGCAGGAGGUUUCGCUGUUUUUUUUUCUUCAUUUUUUUUGGGGCCAAAUUUAGGUGCUGCAGCGUUGUUAAUGGCCGUUGGCUUACUUAUGUUUUUGUGGCUCUUGUGUCCCCACUUGUCAUUGACUGCAGGUGUUGCUCUCUGAUCUAUUUUUGCAUGUCCUUGUGUGCAUCCUAGUUGAAACACGGAUGAUAUAUACAGUCUUGCAUUUUUUU